UCCUGGUCGGACAUCAGGAGGUUAGUGCAAUGGCAUAAGCUAGCUUGACUGCGAGCGUGACGGCGCGAGCAGGUGCGAAAGCAGGUCAUAGUGAUCCGGUGGUUCUGAAUGGAAGGGCCAUCGCUCAACGGAUAAAAGGUACUCCGGGGAUAACAGGCUGAUACCGCCCAAGAGUUCAUAUCGACGGCGGUGUUUGGCACCUCGAUGUCGGCUCAUCACAUCCUGGGGCUGAAGUAGGUCCCAAGGGUAUGGCUGUUCGCCAUUUAAAGUGGUACGCGAGCUGGGUUUAGAACGUCGUGAGACAGUUCGGUCCCUAUCUGCCGUGGGCGCUGGAGAAUUGAGGGGGGCUGCUCCUAGUACGAGAGGACCGGAGUGGACGCAUCACUGGUGUUCGGGUUGUCAUGCCAAUGGCACUGCCCGGUAGCUAAAUGCGGAAGAGAUAAGUGCUGAAAGCAUCUAAGCACGAAACUUGCCCCGAGAUGAGUUCUCCCUGAGACUUUAAGUCUCCUGAAGGAACGUUGAAGACGACGACGUUGAUAGGCCGGGUGUGUAAGCGCAGCGAUGCGUUGAGCUAACCGGUACUAAUGAACCGUGAGGCUUAACCUU
rnacentral:rRNA from 1 species